CUUCCUGCUAGGAAUGAGGAAUCCAACUGCUCAUCUUCUCUUCUCCAGCCCUUCCAACUGCUGGAACCAAGGAGAGCAAUCUUCUGUCCACUGUCCCAGAGAAGCUUCCAAGUGUGAGACAAAUCUCGCGGCUGAGGUGGUUCAAAGGAGGCUGAGGAAAACAAGCACUGAGGGUCCAGGGAAGGUAAAACGGUCAGAAGAAAACCCCUGGAGAUUAAUUUGGAAUUUGUGGGCUGAAGAAUGAGGAUUUGAGUCACAGCUGACCACACGUCUUGAGAAUCAGAGAAUCAUUAAGGCUGGAAAAGACUUUCAAGAUCAUUAAGUCCAACCUUUGUAUUUGCAGUUAACAAGGUGAAUUCUGACUAAAAUAUCCGAGGUGGUAGAGAUCCAUUAAAAAAAUCCAUUUUUUUGCCAUUGUUAGAUGUAAUUACAUUCCUUCUUUACUGCAUGGAAUUGUCUUUUGGGUACAUAUUUUUAUUGGCAAUCAG